CCUACGGGAGGCAGCAGUAGGGAAUAUUGGACAAUGGGUGCGAGCCUGAUCCAGCCAUGCCGCGUGCAGGAAGAAGGCCUUCUGGGUUGUAAACUGCUUUUGCCGGGGGAUAAAAGACCCAUGCGUGGGGAAUUGAAGGUACCCGGUGAAUAAGCCACGGCUAACUACGUGCCAGCAGCCGCGGUAAUACGUAGGUGGCGAGCGUUGUCCGGAUUUAUUGGGUUUAAAGGGUGCGUAGGCGGCCCCGUAAGUCAGUGGUGAAAUACGGCAGCUCAACUGUCGAGGUGCCAUUGAUACUGCGGGGCUUGAGUACAGUCGAGGUAGGCGGAAUUGACGGUGUAGCGGUGAAAUGCUUAGAUAUCGUCAAGAACACCGAUAGCGAAGGCAGCUUGCUAGGCUGUAACUGACGCUGAGGCACGAAAGUGCGGGGAUCAAACAGGAUUAGAUACCCUGGUAGUCCGCACAGUAAACGACGGUCACUCGGUGUUGGCGGUACACGGCCAGCGCCUUAGCGAAAGCGUUAAGUGACCCACCUGGGGAGUACGCCCGCAAGGGUGAAACUCAAAGGAAUUGACGG
rnacentral:rRNA from 1 species